rnacentral:rRNA from 1 species
AGAGAGAGACAUGCGCGCAUAUCAAUAAGCGGAGGAAAAGAAACUAACAAGGAUUCCCUUAGUAACGGCGAGUGAAGCGGGAAGAGCUCAAAUUUGAAAUCUUCAAGGUUUUACCUUGACGAAUUGUAGUUUAAAGAAGUGUUUUCUGCUGAAGUUUUGGUAAAAGUUCUUUGGAAUAGGACAUCAUAGAGGGUGAGAAUCCCGUAUUUGACCAUUAUUUUCAGCUUUGUGAUACACUUUCAAAGAGUCGGAUUGUUUGGGAAUGCAGUCCAAAAUGGGUGGUAAAUUUCAUCUAAAGCUAAAUAUUGGCGAGAGACCGAUAGCGAACAAGUACCGUGAGGGAAAGAUGAAAAGAACUUUGAAAAGAGAGUUAAACAGUACGUGAAAUUGUCAAAAGGGAAGCGUUUGACACCAGUGUUGUUUUCUCGAAAAUCAAUUAAAAAUGGCUCGAUUUUGUAUUGCUUGAGACCUUAAAAGCUCACUGUACAUUUUUCGUGUCUUUUUUAAUGCACUUUUCGUUUAACAAGUCAACAUCAGUUUCUUUUGUUGUAAAAGGGUCAUUGGAAGGUGGCUUUCUUUUCGGAGAAAGUGUUUAUAGCCUUUGGCCUCUGCAAUCGGAAGAGACUGAGGUCUGCAGCGUAGACUCUUCGGGGUUAGAUACAUUUGUGCUAAGUUAUAGCUUUUUAUAGACAACUUGUUGACUAUAAUUAGUCUUGUAGCUUACUCGCUUAUGCUAUUUUACCUACGCUUAGGAUGUUGAAGUCAUCGUAUCGCGC